rnacentral:rRNA from 1 species
UGAGGAAUAUUGGUCAAUGGGCGAGAGCCUGAACCAGCCAAGUAGCGUGCAGGAUGACGGCCCUAUGGGUUGUAAACUGCUUUUAUAUGGGAAUAAAGUGAGGGACGUGUCCCUUAUUGCAUGUACCAUACGAAUAAGGACCGGCUAAUUCCGUGCCAGCAGCUGCGGUAAUACGGAAGGUCCAGGCGUUAUCCGGAUUUAUUGGGUUUAAAGGGAGCGUAGGCUGUUUGUUAAGCGUGUUGUGAAAUGUAGGAGCUCAACUUUUAGAUUGCAGCGCGAACUGGCAGACUUGAGUGCGCACAACGUAGGCGGAAUUCAUGGUGUAGCGGUGAAAUGCUUAGAUAUCAUGACGAACUCCGAUUGCGAAGGCAGCUUACGGGAGCGCAACUGACGCUAAAGCUCGAAGGUGCGGGUAUCGAACAGG